GAGGACAAUUGUGAGUGAAGGGCCAACAGGAAGACAGGACUCUAAAUAUAUAUGUUUCUUUCUUGGUGAUUCAUUUUAUACCUUGAAGAAAUGGGUCAAGGAGCUGAAAGAACAUGGUCCAGAAAACAUUGUAAUGGCCAUCGCUGGAAACAAGUGCGACCUCUCAGAUAUUAGGGAGGUUCCCCUGAAGGAUGCUAAGGAAUACGCUGAAUCCAUAGGUGCCAUCGUGGUUGAGACAAGUGCAAAAAAUGCUAUUAAUAUCGAAGAGCUCU
rnacentral:sRNA from 1 species